AAUGCGGACCGCCUCUGCCUCCCAAGGGCACCCUGAACUUGCUGUUGGGACUGUGCUCUUCCAGAUAUAGAGGAGGAUGAAGAUAAAGUAGAUGUGCAUUCUGCCUGCCUACCCUCAAAUAGAUUGUGGUUUGGAAGUUCAAAUAAGUCACGCACGUAAGUGACUCUCACGCAAUGGGCAAGCCGGCCAGCUGGGGUCAAGGCAGGUGCGCUCGUGGAGGUCGUAUUUUUAACUGUGCUUAGAGAAGGAGUGGAAUGCAGGUCAUGGGGCCGGAAGUGUCUUCCUCCAUGUGAGCGGAGAGGGUAUAAAGAGAAUCGUUGGGAAAUAGAAGGGAAAGGCAGGCAGGCAGUUCUUGGGGUGUUCCUACAGGUGAAACCGCGGUUUAAAGGUAUGCAUAUUUUAAGGCCUUUGGGACACAUGGCUCAAGCAGCCCCCACAAAAGAUGCUCUAAUGUAUCCUGCUGGCAGUAAGGUGGGUGCCGGCAGCCUCGACCUUGACCUAAAAAUGCAGGACAAGCAGGUACAGAGGCUGUGAAUUGGGGUGGAGUUUGUCCCCUCUGUUCAACAAAUCCUUCCCAGCCCCAGGGCUGGGUGUGGGCUUGUAGAGGGGGACAGACACAUCCCUGCCCUUGGCGAGUUCCGUCUGGUGGGACAGACAGCUGCGGUCUAGAGGCAUGAGCAAAACUGGGGCUCCCUUGAAAGCUAUGAGCAGGUUUCUGAGCUGGAAAGUCUGUCCCUCCUGAGUCCUUUCCUCUUUGAGUCACCACCCUCUCCUCCACAGAGCCCUCAGAUUCCACCAGUUGUCUUCAGCUUACCUGGCUCUCAAGGGAUAACUAUGUUUUUUGGUUACAUAUCAGCUGACACAACAUUCUGCCACAUCCCUUGUCCCAGCCACAUUCCUUCAGCCAUGGGGGAAUUUCGAAGGUGCUUGGUGGUUAUCAGCCUAGCUCCCUGCAAAUGGUAUAGCCUGGCCUUCUCAGGUCCACAGGUAGGAAAUCCACCACGAGGGCGGGUGGGGGGGGUCUCAUCUGGGGAGCCUCACAGUAGGCAUCCAAGGCCUUAAAUUAGGCAUACCUGUUAGCCCUGCCUUUUGGAAUCAUCCUAAGGAAGCAAGUGUGAAUAUGUGAUAGAUUUAUCUACAAGAUUAUGCACGAGAGCAUUGUUUAUGAGACAGAAAAAAAUAAUCAAAAAGGAUCUAAAUUUUCAACCAUAAGAGAUAGGUUAAAUAAUUUACGGCAUAGUUGCACAUGCUAGCAUUAUAAAUUACAUCAGGGAGGGAUGCUUACCACCAUGAAAAGAAUGUCGAAGACCAUUGAAGACAUCACAUUGCAAAAUAAUAUGCACUGGUAGAUCCUAUUUAUGAGAGGAAAAAAGUAUAUAUUCACAUAUAGCAAGACACAAGAAAGGGGGAAGUUAUGCCUAAAAAAUAGAAAACGUUGGUGACUUCAGGGUAGGGGAAUUAGAAAGAAUUUAAAAUAUCAUCUCUGGAUGUUCUCUACAAGACACGGUCAUUACUUGUAUAAUCUGGGUGAAAGAUACUCUAUUUUUUAAAGUGUAAUAAAGUGACAUCUCCCUGGACACAGCACAAGGCAUGCCCAGGCAGGGGCUGGGUGCUAGGGAGCCACAUUUCUGAGAGCGGGCCUAGCCCAGGAGCUCCCGGAUACUAGACCAUGCUGCUUAGCCACGCACCAACCCUACUCACGAGAUGUCCUCCAGAAAGGCGCUUGACAGCCUGGCCUCAGCCCUGGGCACGCAGAUCUUCCCACUCGUCAGCCUCACUACAGGCCACGAUGGAACAAACAAGGACUCAGGCCCAAGAGUCGCAUACAGACAGAAUGGAUGGAUUUUUCUGGUCACUGUGGUCCAUUCAGCUGAGCAGGUCCAUUUGAACUCCUUCCCUCACUGACUGCUCAGCCCAUACAAACCCAAUGCCUUCUCCAGGAAGCCUUCCAGACUGAUUCCACCAUGCGGUGUGCUCUGAAUGUCCCUGCUCUCAGUAGGAAGUCCCAUUUGUGGAGUGGUUACUGAGUGCUUUCUCUGAAUGAACACAAGCCACCCUCGCAGUAACCCUCUGAGCUGGCCCUGUGAUGCUUUCAUCACAGACGAGGAAGCAGAGGCAGACGGAGGGUGAGUAUCUUACCCCAAAGCUCAUGCUAAUAAAUGGCAGAGUCGGGAUUCAACCCCAGGCAGUGUGGCCUUAAGGCCAGCCCUCAGAGACACCGAGCCAUGCAGGCCCUCUGAGACAAUCGAUGUCGCCAGUCAUGUUUCCAUGGUGAUUUUGAAUUGUUCCCAGACCGUUCCUGGAAGACUGAAUUCCUGAAGGGUCCCAAAGGAGGAGCCGCACACCAGGCGUGUUUGCUACUUUAACUGCAGGAGAAGCGGGUGUGUCCUCCUGAGCUGGUCCCUAGCUGCUAGAGACAUGUCCACAGACGGUUAUGUAAGGAUCCUGGUAAAACCCCUCCUUUGGGGACAGACCCUGUGCCUGAGACUCUGGAAGCCGCAGGAUGCACUGAGGCUUGGGCUUCUUGUAGGACCAAAGGCUUCUUGCUGUCUCUCUGCAGCAUCUCCCCCAACGCCUGUUCAGUCCCCAGGUUUCUGGGAAGGGUCCAGCUCUACCCAGGAUCAUGGCCUGAGUCCUUCCACUCCAGCUGGGAGGAGAGAUUCAGUGAGGGAAAGAGCAUGCAGCCUGGAGCGUGGGCCUGCUGGAGGCGACCUCUUGGCUGUCCUUUCUUUUCAGAGUUUCCAGGCUGGGUUCCAACCCAGGAUGGAAGAGGAUGUUACCAAGUCUGGGCAAAUCAACACAACCAUAUUAACAGAGGUUAUCUCAGCGUGGGGGGAUUAGGGAUGGCUUUUUUUUUUUUUUUCGUGGCUUUGCUUUUUAGCAUUUUCUAAUUUUCUGCAAAUGAACAUGAUUAUUAAUUAAGGGCAGGGGACGGUGGCGGUACUGUUCUUGCUGCCUUCUUCCCAGGGCUCUUCCUCCAACCUUCUGGAGACUGCUGAGCUCCGGGGUACCCUCUACUUUGUGGGGCUUCCUCCGAGCACCUCUUCACCUUUACCCCGGCAACCCCACUUCUUUCACACCCCUUUACUGCACACGACUGUACUGGAAUUGUACAGAUCACACAGCAUGUCACUGUUCUGAGCCUGCUGCUCUCCACAACCCCGAUGUCAUGAGAAGUCGUCUUUCCUGUCUUUGAAGGGGAUGCCUGGAACCACGUCUCUAUCCUUUGCCCCUCCCAUGGACUUCAUCCCCCAGUUCACCGUCUGACAUCUACAACGGGAUGUUCCAAACAGUCACGGUCACAAGCAUCGUGGCCCCAGCCUACUGUCUCCCCUCCAUGCCUGGGCACCUCCCACUUUCCUCGUCUCUGACAGCAGCACGGUCAAUGGAUCUAGCACAGGGCCCAGGUCAUGUAUGCUCUCCAUGUAUGCUUUCUGGUUGAAUGAAUAAAUGAACAAAUGGGCCAAAAAAAAAAAAAUGGAUCUUUUGUCAUUUGUCUCUUAGAUUUUAGUUUUUUCCUUGCAGUCCUUCCCAUAUUUCUCUGCCAGUUGAAUCUUCCCAAAUGGUGACUUGGCCCUUGGAAUUCUUCACAUGGUGCCUUUAAUGGCUCCCACUCUCUAUCAAGGUCCUUCAAAAGCCAGCCCCUCUUUACCUUCCUUUGUAAAGGAUUUGAUCUCUCUCUCCCUGAGUCUCUCCUCUAGCUGACCUGACCCUUCAGAUGGGAUCCCACAGAAGGUAGCAGACCUCAUGGUGGGCUGUCUGUCUACCUGGGACACUGUCUGGUUCCCUGACCCUGUUCCACUUCACCCCAACCUAUAAGAGGGCACCACCAGUGGCUCCUGCAAAGCACAGGGCUCUGUGAGGCCACCUCCAGACCCCAACGAACCCUCGUCAGCCUGCAGCUCAGGGCUGAUGUCAGCGCGGAAUCCCGGGGUCUGCAUUGACUGACAGCUGUGGCAUCCAAUGACACCACAUGCUGGGCCAGUUCUUUGACCCAUUCUGAAGCUCAGGCUCCCCGCUGUAAUCUGGGAAUGAGACCCGCCUACCUCUUUCUGGGGGUCACCGUCAAAAUCAAAUGAGAUCAUGCAAGUGCUUUGGAAAGGAAAAAGCAAUAUUCAAAUAUAAAGUGCUAGAUUACCUGUUUUGUUUGUUUGUUUGUUUGUUUUUUAAUUUUGAAGGUUGUCAGGGCAGAAACUAAAAGGACUUUUAAGUUUUACUAUUUAAUAAUAAGUCUAUCAGAAGCUCAAAAACACACCAUAGCUGAAUACAGUAAGCACUAUUUGUUGGGUAUCCAAGAGCUAUUUCUCCUCUCCUUCCAAGCUCAAGGAAUUCUGCUUCUUUCAAGUAAGGCCAGGGCUUUCCUUCACCCACCUUGAUCUGCCCCAGCCCCAGGGGAAGACUUAUGAUUGGUCUAGAUCAGUCUUGGCAUUCACAUUCUACUUUGCCAGUGAUUGGUCUAGGGGUGGGCAUAAGUCCCAGUUCUGGUCAAUGAGAAAUAAGGGAAAAUGUGACUUCCCUACCCCAACUUGAAACAGAAUUUCAAGAAAAGAAAACCUUUGCCUCUGUCUUACUGGGCAAUCAUGUGAGGACAUGAUGCCUGAAUGAGUAGGAUAGAUCUUGCAACUGUGGAGCAAUAAGCACAAGGACACAAUGGAAGAACAGAAGAUCAGAAAGAGGAGGAUUCUUCUCUUCCUCCCCCUCCCCCCACCCCUCUCCUCUCCUCCUCCUUCCCCUCCUCCUCCUCCCCCUCCUCCUCUUCCUUCCCCUCCCCUUCCUCUUCCUUCUCCUCCU